UACAGAGGGGGCAAGCGUUAUUCGGAAUUAUUGGGCGUAAAGGGCGCGUAGGCGGCUUUGCAAGUGACGGGUGAAAUCCCUCGGCUUAACUGAGGAACUGCCUGUCAGACUGCAUGGCUUGAGACCGGGAGAGGUGAGUGGAAUUCCCAGUGUAGCGGUGAAAUGCGUAGAUAUUGGGAGGAACACCAGUGGCGAAGGCGGCUCACUGGACCGGUACUGACGCUGAGGCGCGAAAGCAUGGGGAGCGAACAGG
rnacentral:rRNA from 1 species